rnacentral:rRNA from 1 species
UUGACCCACAAAACGACCUGACCUCAAAUCG